rnacentral:rRNA from 1 species
AAAAAUAAAAAUUAAUAAUAAUAAAUUUAAUAAAAGUAAUUUUAAUAUUAAAAUAAAUAAUGGGGGUUAAAGUAUUUUAAUAGAGAAAAUUAGAAAUUUUAUAGUAAAUUAGUAUAGUAGUAGAAAUUUGAAAUAAGUGAAAAAUAAUUUUUUAAAAAGUAAAUUUAAAUUAUUGUAUCUUGUGUGUCAGAGUUUAUUAAAUAAUAUUUUUAUAUAAAAAUAUCUCGAAUUUAAAAGAGUUAAUUAAUUAAUAAAGUUAAUGUAAAAUAAUUAUUUUAAAUAAUUAAUUUGAAAUGAAAUGUUAAUCGUUUUUAAAUAUAUCUAGUUAUUUUAGAAAAAAAUUUAAUUUUAAAUUUAUUUAUUAAUUAUAUUAAUUAAAUUAAUAUGAUAAAAAGUAAAUUUUAUAAUUUAAGGGAUAAGCUUUAAAUUAAAUUUUUAUAAUAAAUAAUUUAAAUAAAUAAAAUUUUUAAAAUUUAUAUUGUUUAAAAAUUAAAGUUUAUUAUAAAAAAUUUUAUUAAAAAUAAAAUUUAAAUUAAUUUAAUUUUUUAUAAAAAUAUAGUUUUUAAUAUAAAAAAAAUUAGUAAUAAUGAUAAAAUUAGUAUAAUAAAAUAAAAAAAAAUAAAUUUAUUUAAAAUUAAAUAAAAGGAAUUCGGCAAAAUUUAUAUUCACCUGUUUAACAAAAACAUGUCUUUUUGAGAAAUAAUUUAAAGUCUAAUCUGCCCACUGAUUUUAUAUUAAAGGGCUGCAGUAUAUUGACUGUACAAAGGUAGCAUAAUCAUUAGUCUUUUAAUUGAAGACUUGUAUGAAGGAUUUGAUGAAAUAUAAACUGUCUCUUAUUUAUAACUAGAAUUUAAUUUUUUAGUUAAAAAGCUAAAAUAUGAUUAAAAGACGAGAAGACCCUAUAGAGUUUUAUAGUUAUUUAUUUAAAAUAUUUAUAUAAAAUUUUAAUAUUUUAUUUGAAUAAUUAUUAUAUUGGGGUGAUAAAAAAAUUAAUUAAACUUUUUUUAAAAUUUAACAAAAAUAAAUGAAUAAAUGAUCCAUAAAUAAUGAUUAAAAGAAAAAAUUACCUUAGGGAUAACAGCGUAAUAUUUUUUUUUAGUACAAAUAAAAAAAAAAGUUUGCGACCUCGAUGUUGGAUUAAGAUAAAAUUUAAAUGCAAAAGUUUAAAAUUUUGAUCUGUUCGAUCAUUAAAAUCUUACAUGAUCUGAGUUCAAACCGGUGUAAGCCAGGUUGGUUUCUAUCUUUAAUUAAAUAGGAUAUUUUA